UGUUUAAACGGAAUCAUA
rnacentral:snRNA from 1 species